AUAGUUUCUCUAUUCCUUUAUCGUUAUAGUUGUGGUGUGGACUCUGCUGUUCUUUAAUACUGAAAACGAUUUUUAGAACUAUAUCUUUAUCGUUAUCUUUAUAGUUAUCGUCCUUGGUGUGAACGGGCCUUUAUUGUCAUAUAUUAUUAUUUGAAGAUUAACCAGCUCAGCAACGCUAAUGUUAGUAUAAGCUAGCAAAGACGAAAUAACACAACAUCAAAGUUAUCAACGACAAGUGUUAAAUAUGCAGUGUUUUACACCACAGUUUCUCAGUGAGAAAAAAGGGCGUUUCUCAGUCGGACACAAACAAGUGAUUUUUUUUUUUCGUCUUUUAAACCAGAAAGACGGCUGACAGAUAAAGGACACUCGCGCCGUGGAGAAACUAAAGCAACAGAGCAAAGGCAGCGUGGAGAGCUGGUAUGUAGAAGGCAAGAUGGCUGCAAUACUACGAGCCUAAAUUGAAGCAAGAAAAGGAGCCUUAGCAGGUGCAGAAGGCAGCAGUCCCCAUCAUUGCUGUUGAGGAGGAAGAGGAAAUGUCACGAGGGAAGCCACUGGAUGUUUGGAUUGUCUCUGAAGAUGAAGAGUUGAUGUCAACCAAGUCUAGGCAGAACAUGCGUCAUUCGUCAGCUUCACAUGUGUCGCAUGCUAGAAGCAACAGGGAGCGAGCCAGAGAGUCGGCUGUGUGGAGAUAUUUCACGCUUGCCACGCCAGCUAGUUCGUCGGCGGUUUGCAAUGUCUGCAA
ensembl:lncRNA